GUUUACUCUGUCACAGCUCAAUAUUUGCCCAUCCAUCUCUCAUCCCACUGGAAACCACAAGUGUGUUUGCUAAACUGUACUAGGGUCGGACAAUGUCUACAAUGAAACAUCAGGAUGGACGAUCAUCGGGUGCGCAGGACAAACAUCAGAUGGCUCCUUACACUGCUGUUGACAACAGAGAUGCACAAUACCUCUGGAAAGCACAAGACCUGUGCCUGACACUCAUCAUCCUUCCAUCAAAGCGGCUGAAGAUGGAAAUCUCUGCUUGACACGCUUCUUUACGGAAAGGAGAUAUCACCCCCAGUUCCACAGCAUCUGUCCUGCAGACUUUCAUUAGUUUAAAGUGAAGACAGAGCCUCACGUGGAGCUGCAUCUGAUGAAGACACAUACUGAGUGGACGAACUCAGAAACCAACUACCUACUGCUGAAAAGUGGUGUUGAAGUUGCCACACUGGAUUCAUAACUAACUGCAGCUUUUAGGAAAUGUACAAUCCUGAACAAACCUACU